CCCCUUUCGUUAUCUUUCCCUCCCUCUCUUAGGCUCCUCUGCUCACUACUGCUGCCCCUUCUGCUCCUGACCUCCAUCCCAGUAAUGCCUAGUUUGUAGACAGUGCACCUACCUCAGCCCAGCUGCCUCUCUCCUUAUCUUAGCUGAUUGCUUGGGAAAUUGACCUUCCAUUUUGCUUCCUGUGGCCGUCAGUUCAUCCUUGCUGGUAUACUGUCAAGAGCAGCUGAGAGCCAGGCCAUUGGUGGGCAUCUUGUGCUGAGCUUGCUUGCCGUUUGGCGUGCCCAUGGCACCCAAGAGCAAGCGUGGCAAGGCCAAGGGCGAGAAAAAGAAGAAAGAUGAGAAAGUGCUCCCUGUGGCCAUUGAUAUCACUGUCAACCUCCCGGAUCAGUCUGAUGUCAUUCUCAAGGGAAUUUCCACGGACAGGAUCAUUGAUGUGAGGAGGCUGCUCUGCGUCAACACCGCCACCUGUGCAAUCACAAACUACUCCCUCUUGCAUGAGACUCGUGAUGGUCACUUGAAGGAUGGCGUCGAUAUUGCGACACUGAAGCCAUAUACUCUCACCCUGGUAGAAGGGGAGUAUGACGAGGAUAGUGCGUUGGUGCACAUACGGCGGCUGCUGGACAUUGUUGCGUGCACCGCCUCCUUUGGCUCUCCACCACCUCCGCCGCCUCCUCCAUCCCCCAAGGAUGCUGAUGCCACCAAGGAGCCCUCCAACUCCAGCUCCAAGCCUGCAGCAGCGGCCUCCUCGGGCGGGCGCCGCACGGGCUCGCCACCGCCCCUGCCGAAGGAAUCAGCUGCAAAGGAUGCUGAUGCAGCGGCGGCCAAGGAGGACGCGGUCUCGGCGGAGCUGGAGGCGGAGAUGAGCGGUGCAUGCCCCCGCCUUGGAGCAUUCUACGAGUUCUUCUCUCUUGCUAACCUCUCACCGCCCCUCCACUUUAUAAAGCGAGUGACUCAACCUCGACAGGAGGAGCAACCGUCUGAUGACCAUCUCUUCUUCCUUGAGGCAAAGCUUUCUAAUGGGAAAUUUGUCAUUGUUGAAGCUCGGAGAAAGGGGUUCUUUAGUUUUGGGAAACAGCGUGUUUUGUGCCACAAUCUUGUCGACCUAUUGAGGCAUCUCAGCAGAGCAUUCGAUAAUGCAUAUGAGGAUCUUAUGAAGGCAUUUUUGGAACGGAACAAGUUCGGAAAUUUUCCUUAUGGUUAUCGUGCAAAUACAUGGCUUGUUCCUCCGAUUGCUGCCCAGUCACCAUCAACAUUUCCUCCCCUUCCUGCUGAGGAUGAAACUUGGGGAGGCAAUGGAGGUGGUUGGGGAAGGGAUGGCAAAAGUGACAUGUUGCCAUGGGCAGAUGAGUUCAUGUAUCUCACAUCCAUGCCUUGCAAAACUGCUGAGGAGAGGGAAAUUCGUGACAGGAGAGCAUUCCUACUGCACAGUCUAUUCGUAGAUGUUGCCAUCUUUAGAAGUAUUGCAGCCAUCCGGCAUGUAAUGGAGAGUACGGAUGUAUCAACAUCAAUCAAGACAGAUGAGGUCUUGCAUUCUGAGACGGUGGGAAAUUUUAGCAUCACUGUCACAAGAGAUUCUUCAGAUGCAAGCUGCAAGCUGGACACUAAGAUAGAUGGAAACCGAGCCACAGGAAUGGACUCUAAGCAUCUUGCAGAGAGAAACCUUUUGAAAGGAAUAACUGCAGAUGAAAACACUGCUGCACAUGAUGUUGACAGUUUGGGCAUCGUGAAUAUUAGAUACUGUGGAUACGUUGCUGUAGUAAAGGUUAACAAUUACGAGAAAACUAUUGUGACUUCUUUUAAGCCUGCUGAUAUCACGGAUCAACCUGAAGGGGGUGCUCAUGCAUUGAACAUUAACAGUUUGAGGAUGCUCCUAAAUGAAGCCAAUGCAACUGGAGAAAAGAAGUUACCAACACAAAGUCAUAGGCAGGAAGAACUAACUGCAGCACAAACUUAUGCUGAGAACGUGUUGAAGGAAAGUCUUCAAAAUCUUGAGGAAGAGGAGACUGAUAAACAAUCAUUUAUGAGAUGGGAACUUGGUGCCUGUUGGGUUCAGCACCUGCAAGAUCUGAAAAAAUCUGACAAAGACAAAAAACAAGGUGAUGGGAAGGAAAAGAAAAAAACGGUAGACAAAGAUGUGAAAGAGACGAAGAUUGAAGGGCUUGGGAAGCCUCUCAAAGCUCUUAAACAUCCGAAGAAUGCGGUUGAUGCUUCUGGCAAGGGAUCCUCAUCAGGGAACAAAAGUUUGACUGAUGCAACAAGCUCUGGGGAAAGCCAGAAAGUCAAGCCAUCAUCUGUUGAACCGCUUCAAGGAGACUGCAUCACCUCCGAGAAUGAAAUCUUGCUGAAGGAUGUAUUACUGGAUUCCGCCUUUACAAGGUUGAAAGAUUCAGAAACAGGACUCCACCAGAAGUCACCAUCUGAGUUGAUUGAGAUGGCUCUGAAGUUCUCUGAUGAAGUUGCGCUUCCUAAGCUGGUUGCCGAUUUUGGUUCUUUGGAACUUUCACCUGUUGAUGGUAGGACAUUGACAGAUUUCAUGCAUACCAGGGGCCUGCAGAUGCGCUCCCUAGGACGAGUUGUCAAACUUUCAGAGAAGCUCUCACACGUACAGUCCCUUUGUGUGCAUGAAAUGAUAGUGAGAGCAUUCAAGCAUAUUGUCCAAUCUGUUAUUGCAGCUACUUCAGACAUGAGACAAUUAGCAUUAACAAUAGCUGCAGUGCUGAACUUACUUCUUGGUGUUCCUGAAUCUGAAUUUUCUGGAAGUUCUCCUGCUGUGCAUCCCCUGGUGUGGAGAUGGCUUGUUGCCUUCUUGAAGAAGCGAUACCAGUAUGAGCUCACAGGGCAACAUUAUGAUGAUGUGAGGAAAUACGCUAUAUUGAGAGGACUAUGCCAUAAGGUGGGCAUUGAAUUGGCACCGCGAGAUUUUGUCAUGGAUUCUGCUUUCCCGUUUUGCAAACAGGACAUUAUUAGCCUUGUGCCCGUACAUAAGCAAGUUGCGUGCUCAUCUGCAGAUGGAAGGCAACUUCUAGAAUCCUCUAAAACAGCUCUUGACAAGGGUAAACUUGAAGAUGCUGUUAAUUAUGGAACCAAGGCCCUUGCCAAGCUCAUAAUGGUGUGUGGUCCCUAUCAUCGAAUGACGGCUGGAGCUUAUAGCCUUCUAGCUGUUGUUUUGUACCACACUGGUGAUUUUAAUCAGGCUACAAUAUAUCAGCAAAAGGCCCUAGACAUCAACGAGAGGGAACUUGGGCUUGAUCACCCUGAUACGAUGAAGAGUUACGGAGACCUUGCUGUUUUCUACUAUCGUUUACAACACACAGAACUGGCUCUGAAGUACGUCAAGCGUGCAUUAUAUCUUCUACAUCUUACAUGCGGGCCAUCUCAUCCAAACACAGCUGCAACAUAUAUUAACGUAGCCAUGAUGGAGGAAGGCUUGGGCAAUGUGCAUGUAGCUCUUAGGUACUUGCACAAAGCUUUAAAAUGCAACCAGAGAUUACUUGGGCCUGAUCAUAUCCAGACUGCUGCAAGCUACCAUGCUAUCGCCAUUGCUCUCUCGUUGAUGGAAGCUUAUUCGUUGAGUGUUCAGCAUGAGCAGACAACCUUGCAAAUCCUUCGUGCAAAGCUUGGACCAGAUGAUCUUCGGACUCAGGAUGCUGCAGCCUGGCUUGAAUACUUUGAAUCGAAAGUAAUUGAGCAACAAGAAGCUGCCCGCAAUGGAACUCGAAAACCUGAUGCAUCAAUAGCUAGUAAAGGACACCUAAGUGUAUCUGAUCUUCUUGAUUACAUCAAUCCCAACGAAGAAAACAAAGGAAGAGAUUCUGAAUCAGGCAAGAGGAGGUACUCAAGCAUAAAGGUUUUAUCACAUUCGAGUGAGAAUUCAAACGUAGCAAGUCCUGAUAUAUCUCCAAGAGAUUCUGCUAUUGCAUUCAAAGAUGAGGAAAAACAAAUUAAAGAGCCGUUGCAAGAUGAUAGUGCUAAUAUCAUGGAUAUUCCUGAAACUGAGGUUAAAGAGAGUCCUUUACCCUUGAAGGCUUCACCACCUUCUGAACAGCUGGUAGAGAGAUCUGAGGUGAACAUCAGUUCACCUGAGGAAGUUUUUGAAGGUGGAAUACUAGAACAGGAUGAUGGCUGGCAGCCUGUUCAAAGACCUAAAUCAGCGGCAGUUUUAGGUAAACAGAUAAAGCAUUACAGUGCUGCCAUCAGAAGAUAUGACCCUGAGAAUCAUGCUCCAACAGAUGCUUCCCAAUAUAAGCCAAGGAAUUCCUAUUCAAAUAACCGUUAUUACUUCUUAAAGAAGAGAACUGUCGUACCUGCAGCAUACACAGAUCCUCAGCAGCAUAUGAAAGUCCAGACAUCAAGUGUCAGGUUUGGUCGUAAGACAUACAAGGCUACCUACCGGGUUAAGCCAGGGACAGCAUCCACGGAAGUGCAAGAUACUUCUAGGAUCACAGAGCAGAUGAGUGGUAAAGAAGAAUCCCAAAUAUCUUAUUCACAUGUACACAAUCGUUCAGCAGAUCUGAAAGGAAGUGAGCCACAUGGACCUUGGGUUGAAAGUACUGGAAACGCACCAUCAUACAAAGAUGUUGCAUUGGCACGUCCAGGUACAAUAGCCAAGACUCAAAUACAAAAACCUAGAGAUGAUGUACUGCAACCAUCACUUGGUCAAAUUAUCGCACAAGAAAUGAAGGAUUCCUUGGUAGAUGCAGUUCAAGUGGACCAGAGGUCCGUCUCCUCAAGUACCAAUAAUUCCAAAGAGGUACACAUUGUGCCAGCAGAAAUGCAGCAUUCAGAAAAAAGAGAAGAGUCACAUAGGGAACAUGAGAUUGACAACACCGAGAAAGAUAGUUUACCAGAUAAGGUAACAGCAGAUAAUGAGAAACCUUCUGGCAUUGGCCCUGCAGAUAGUAAAACAGACACGUCCUUAUUCAGUAACAAAGAUCAAGAACCAACAAGUAGUGACAAUUUUGGUGCUGCCACUGAGUUCUCAGAUUUGGCAGUACCCACAGAAGCUGAAAAGAGUGGGAAAACUGGCAUACAAUUUCUUGAAGAAUCUCUACCUACUAAUAGUGAACCUAUUACAGUCUCAGAGCAUACAAUAAGUAUGCAGGGAGGCGUUGGAGGUGUUGAAAGUGAGAAGUCAAAGCCUGACUUGCUUCUAAGUAAUAUUGAUAUAAGAGAGAUAUCUAAUAAGAAGCUAUCUGCUGCUGCACCUCCAUUCAAUCCGUCUCCUCCAGCUAUCCUUAGCCCAAUUGCUGUAAGUGUCGGUCUCCCACCACCAGGUGCCGUUCCAAGCGGCCCUUGGCCUAUGAAUAUCUCCAUGCAUCCUGGACAUUCAAAUAUGGUGCCAAACGGUCCUCCUCUGUGCACAUCCCCACAUCAUUCGUACCCGCCCGCUCCUCGGUCUCCUAAUCUCUUGCAUCCUGUGCCAUUUAUUUAUCCACCAUAUAGUCAAUCGCAGAUGGUUCCAAGCAGCACAUUUCCCAUGAACACUACUAUAUUUCGCCCUAACCAUUAUGGAUGGCAACCUUAUAUGAGCCCAGCUGCAUCUGAGUUUGUGCCUGGACCAGCAUGGUCAAACAAUCAUCCAGUCGCUUACACCCCCAGCCCAAAUGUUGCUGACACUAUUUCUCAGUCAAUAGCAGAUUCACACGUCCUAUCUGAUGCAGCUGUUGUUAGUAUAGGACCUUCACUGGACAGCAAUAUGGUUGCAGUAAAGGAGGAAAUGGAGGUCCCUCUGGAGGUAGACACUGGUAAUUUGAUCCGCAAUAAUAUUUUGGGAGAGGAACAUGAUAAAGAGUUAAAGGAUGCUGUUAAUGCUGCACUUAAUCCUCACAUGCCAGGAGACAGCAUAUUUGAUAUUGGUGGAACGAAACUGGGAGGCAACAUGAAGAAUGAAGAUGAGGGUAGCUUUAGGAUAUUUGUAAAGGGGAAAAGCAGGCGAAAGCAAACUCUGAGGAUCCCGAUAAGUUUGCUUAACAAGACAUAUAGCGCACGUUCCUUCAAGCUUGACUUCAACAGAGUAGUCAGAGAGAGUGAUAUCUUCAGGCCAUCGGGCGUUUCUUCUGCUGAAGUAGUUUCUUCUGGCGACUGAGGAAUAUUCCACCAGUCAAAUAUUUACCUAUGACAUUAUUACCCAAAGAGAAUUCGAUGGAUCUCCAUUUGAAAAAUACUGAAAUGUGACUCUUAUUUUUAUCUGAGCAUUUGGAAGGCAGCAACAAUGCUCCUUCAGUGUUCCAGAUCUGAUCCAAGCUACUCUGAAAAGAUAAAUGUGUUUUCUUUUCCGACUUCAAAUAAGGUGUCGACAAUUCCGUGUGGAGUGUAGCAGAUUGCCGAGAGUUUUGCGAGAUCCGGAACCAAUAAAAGGUGGAAGUGUUAGCAAAAAAUACAUGGCAGACUGAUUCUUUACUACAAUUUUGAUAGACUAAGUAGAAUAUUUUCCUCCAAAAUUUGGGCUAAAUUUUGGUCGUAUGGAACUUAACUUCUAGAAACUUAGAAAUUUGUUUGCUCCUGCAUCCUGAAAUAAUCUCUCGUGUCUUUUGUGAGAGAAACUAAUGUUAUUCUUUUGAUGAUGAGAAUUAGUAAUAAGAGCAUCUCCGGCAGCCCCGUUCUCCC
rnacentral:rRNA from 1 species